rnacentral:rRNA from 1 species
GACGAACGCUGGCGGCGUGCCUAAUACAUGCAAGUUGAGCGAUGAAGAUUGGUGCUUGCACCAAUUUGAAGAGCAGCGAACGGGUGAGUAACGCGUGGGGAAUCUGCCUUUGAGCGGGGGACAACAUUUGGAAACGAAUGCUAAUACCGCAUAACAACUUUAAACAUAAGUUUUAAGUUUGAAAGAUGCAAUUGCAUCACUCAAAGAUGAUCCCGCGUUGUAUUAGCUAGUUGGUGAGGUAAAGGCUCACCAAGGCGAUGAUACAUAGCCGACCUGAGAGGGUGAUCGGCCACAUUGGGACUGAGACACGGCCCAAACUCCUACGGGAGGCAGCAGUAGGGAAUCUUCGGCAAUGGACGAAAGUCUGACCGAGCAACGCCGCGGGAGUGAAGAAGGGUGUCGGAUCGUAAAACUCGGUUGGUAGAGAAGAACGUUGGUGAGAGUGGAAAGCUCAUCAAGUGACGGUAACUACCCAGAAAGGGACGGCUAACUACGUG